rnacentral:rRNA from 1 species
GUAGGGGGCGAGCGUUGUCCGGAUUCAUUGGGCGUAAAGAGCUCGUAGGCGGCUUGGUAAGUCGGGUGUGAAACCUCCAGGCUCAACCUGGAGACGCCACUCGAUACUGCCAUGGCUAGAGUCCGGUAGGGGCCCACGGAAUUCCUGGUGUAGCGGUGAAAUGCGCAGAUAUCAGGAGGAACACCGGUGGCGAAGGCGGUGGGCUGGGCCGGAACUGACGCUGAGGAGCGAAAGCGUGGGGAGCGAACAGGAUUAGAUACCCUGGUAGUCCACGCCGUAAACGUUGGGCACUAGGUGUGGGACCUUAUCAACGGGUUCCGUGCCGUAGCUAACGCAUUAAGUGCCCCGCCUGGGGAGUACGGCCGCAAGGCUA